rnacentral:lncRNA from 1 species
GCCUCUCUCAUCAGCUAGGUAUACAGAAUAAUGUGUGCACACAGGCUAACUACUCUCCGUUAGCAUGGAGUUACUGACAAGUCCCAUAUCAAGGCAUAAUAGAUAUUCAUAGAAUCAUCAAAGAAACGUAUAUUACAAUAAAUGAGUACUCGGAAAAUAAAGCAACAUAUAUAAAUAUUCAAGAGUUGUACUCAUUGUAUAAUCAACAUACAUAUUUAUUUAUAUUAUAUGUAUAUUAAAG